UACGUAGGGCGCAAGCGUUAUCCGGAAUUAUUGGGCGUAAAGAGCGUGUAGGCGGCCUGAAAGGUCAGCUGUGAAAACUCGAGGCUCAACCUCGAGACGUCGGUUGAAACCAUCUGGCUAGAGUCCGGAAGAGGAGUGUGGAAUUCCCGGUGUAGCGGUGAAAUGCGCAGAUAUCAGGAGGAACACCGGUGGCGAAGGCGGGUCUCUGGGCCGUAACUGACGCUGAGGAGCGAAAGCAUGGGGAGCGAACAGG
rnacentral:rRNA from 1 species